UCUUAAUAAAUAAUCUUUCUUUGAGCUACAGUAAAUCCAUUCAGUGAAGAGUUUGUGGGCCUUGGGCUUGUGUGGGCAUGUGUCUGACCAUCACCCUGCUGUCCUGCGGGUGCUUUAUUACUAGAUCAUGUUGCUUGGUCCUCUCUGCCCUGCAGCACUGUGAGAUCUCCUUGCACAGAUCCUAUGCUAGUGCAGGGCUGGUGGGCAGGCAGCCACAUCGCUUCUCACCCCAAAUAACUGCACGCUCUCUGCUAGUCCAGCCACAGUUGUGUCCCUUUUACACUUAUGAGUUACAUCCACAGUCCUGGAUUUGACUGCUGUCUUUGGUGCCUUGCAAGUCCGGUCCUUCCCGGGAAGGAGUUAGAGCAGAACUGGUUGCUGCAAGGUAAGAUCCCUGGCAGGAGUAUUCCUUUGCUGCUGUCCUCACAUCGCCAGCAGUGGGAGUAUGAUUUCUCCCUGUGCACUUCUCUCCCACGCUGUUGUACUUAAAAUGAAGAAACUUGUGGUUACCGUGUUCAUGGAUGUCAGGCAUUUCAGAGAAAAGCUAGCCAUAUCCAGAGCUUUUUUUUACAGCCUCCUCUGCGCAUGGCUGUCAUGAGCAUUGAGGAGCUGCAGUGGCUUCCACAAGCGUGACUACACCUUGGUCAAUAUCAGACUUCCUAUUUUGUUUGUGCCCCCCAAAAAACAAAACCAGAUGUUUCUGGUGUAAACAGCUCAUCUGUGCCCACUACCUAUACAGCCCUAUGCUAAAGAAAGACGACCUGCCCCUCACUUACUUGCUGCAGCCUGAGGAGGGCAGAAAGAGCUGCAGAGUGGGCAGGAGGAAGGGGAAAAGGAGGAUACUGCUGGGGAAGAGGAUUGGGAAGGAUAUAUAGUUUGGAAUGGAAAUCUUAUAGUAAGAGAACUGGCAUCUAAUGAAGGUUGGGAGAGAACUUCAGAACUUCAUGGACUGUUUCACAAAGUUUCUUCCUAAUCCCUAUUUUUCUCAAAGCUGCUGUGCUUUUAUGACAAUAUUGAGACUAUCUGCCUGCAUCAGCACAAGUUGCCAGCCUAUAAAAAGAAGAGCGAAUCAGCUCCCUAAGCUUUAGCCAUCUGAACGUGAGGGAGCGCAUGCCAGCCCAUGACAGAACACAUUAAUAGCAUCUCCACUCCCUUAUCACAGCUGCUUUCUAAGUCACCCUUUUCCCGAGGGUCAGUCACCACCUUCCAAUGCUUUCUCAGUUGAUAAAAAAUAUUUAGUGUAAUUUUUCUGCUCAGUUGUUAUCCUAAUCUGUCUGUUCACACCUUGAUGCGGGAUCCUUGCAGCCAAGGAUCUGUACAGCUCCUUGGGAGCCUUCUACCCUUUUCCCUGCACCACUCGGCCUCUUCCAUGUUGCAUGAUGAUCAAGAACAUCAUCUGCUUUUGUGAGCUUGAAAACAGGUGGACAGAGGAACAGGCUUGACUCCUCUGUUCAUCUCUUUUUCCUCUUCUCAGGGCCUUUCUCAGUACAUUACCAGUAUCUGUCUUCUCACUAGCUCUUUCAGGGUUAGUCUUUCUCGAGCAUCUCUGUGCAAGUGACAGCCUUUCAUUCGACUUCCUCCAGGGAAUGCAGCCUUGAGCUGAUACAGGUAUGCAGAGACUGGUUCUCUUGCUCUGUUAGGGACAAUACAAUGGGAGGUUAGCUCUACUGUGCCCCUUUAUACUGUGGAAGUUAGCAGCAAAAGUCUUAGAUUUAUACAACUCAAAACAACAACAACAACAAAACAACUCAAUUUUAGUCUACCUUUAAUACACAGAUAUGCAUAUACCUACAUACAUACAGAGACACAUACACAUGUAGCUCUUGCUCUGCCAAGUCCUGUGCAAUUUCUGCCAUCCUUCUGAGCAACUGGAGCAUGAAAGUACAGAAGGAAGAGGGGAUGGAGCUGUUUUGUUUAUGAGCAAGAGGCUGCUUGCACAAGUAACCAUGCUUGUGGUGCAGUCUCAGGCACUCAGACUGGUGUGAGGCUCCAGUGAAGCCUGUUGUGACCCUCUUUGGAAAAAACUCAAGAGUUCAGCUUUCUUCUGGCUGAUAAAGUCAGUACUGUGAAGAAACCAGAAAUACUAGUCCUGUUCAAGAGCUGUGCUGUGCCCCAGGCAAGAAUACUAACACAGGAUUCUCCCUUCAAAUAAAAGAGAAACAAUCAGAUAUUCUCACUGCAGGCCCAGGUGGAAGACUGUACUAGCUGGGAAUAUGCAUGUUGUGUGGCUCCAACGGCAAAGAUGUGUGGUUUCUGGGAGUACAAACCCAUUGGGAAAAAGGAUUUGUUCACGGUGCAGAAGCAAAGAGGAAUUUAAUCACCUGCCUUCUCUAGGUGAAAGUUAGGUGGUCUCAAUGCUUCUUAGGUUUUGACUCACUGAAAACAGCAUUGUAUUCAGCAAAAGGUGAAACAUGGGGGAGAGGAACUGCAUGGGCAAGUAUAUGCAGCCAAGCAGAUGGAGAAGGUGGGUACUCUGAUACUGUUAAGACAAGUACUGCAGAAAGUGGGAGAGUUCAAAGAGAGCUACAAGAAAAAUUUCCUUACAGUGAAAGAGAUCAAAUAUAGAGCAAGGAUAAGUCUGGGACUUUUCAAUGGAUGGAGGAAGCCUCUUGAGAUAAAAUCUAUUGUCCUGUUUUCUGUCCUAGUCCAUUGCCCGAAGACUCAUGGCAAGAAGAAAUAACAAGUGUGGAAUACUGCCUAAGUAUCAUUUUAGCAGCACCAAAAUCAUUUUAGCAAAUCCCAUCACGGCUCAGGGAACAGCCAGUUUCUUUGCUUGUUUCUUACUCCUUCUGUGCCUUGCCUCAUUCUAAACAUGACACUUUGACUAAACAAAACAUUCCUGUUACCUGCUCUGAAAAAUCACACUGACAUCCUUCCCUUCAGCCUUCAUCCCUUCAGUGUGGCACAGGGCAUAAGUCAUCUGUUCAAAUGCAAGUGUCAAGCUCAAAUAAAUGCUCAUGGGACCCCAGUAACUGUAGUGACUGGAUUUCCACUGACUGUAACAGGCAAGCUGUGCCCCAGGGCUCACUAAUGCUUCCCAUGAGCCUUGUGGAUGCAUAGUCAGAGACUUAUAGACAGACCUAUAAUGUGCUACAGAAAAACAGCAGGUGCUGCAAGUGUCUCAUGUCCUGCCAUAGCAGGACUCUUUGGCAAGUAUUUUAGAGUGAAUGAGUCUCUCUAUUGCAUCUAGACUCCUAACUCUAUCCCUGUCCAAAACUGGUGUGUAUUUUUCCUUGGGACAGUGCCCAAUCUGAAGAGUUAGUGUUUUCCACACAAAAAUGCCUGCUUGGUAAACUUCCAAGAAGUUCUAUUUUUGAUUCAAUGAAGAAUGGCAGCUUUCCAUGGAACUUAAUUUUUUUCUUCCUUUCUUUCCCCCAUCCCCUUUUCUCCCCAAAACCAAGAUUGCUCAAAAAUCCGUAAUUUUUCAUUUGGAAGUGCUGCCAGGAAGCCUCAUGGAUGUCAGAGUUCAAUUGUCUUGGUCUGCAGGAGGUUGGAUGGUUUUUAUAGUCAUCCUUUCAAACUUGAAAAAUGAGAGUAGUUCUUUUCUUUCUUUACCUUUUCAUUGCACUGCUUUCCCUCCUCUUGAAGAGAGGACAGCAGAGGUUCUACUGUAGACCUCUGAAAACUCUGGUGCUUUAACACACUGCUCCUGCUCCCCAGCCCAUAUGGUAACUUGCAACCAUGAAGGAUUAGGUGUGGAGCCACAGCUGUUAAGCAGCUACUGGAACCCACUCCAUGUCAGGGUAAAGAUCUGCUGAUGUGUGACUGCCUGAGAGCUGGAGAUACACACAGAUAUUGCCGGAAGCCUUUUAUCCUCCUGCAUCCAAAGUUUGCUUACUUCAGUAUGCAAGUUGUUCCAUAGUCUGCAAACCACGUCCAAAAUAGCUGAAAUUUUCAGGACCGUGCCAUCACCCUACUGGUUCCCACAUUUUGAUUAAUUUUCUAUCCCAUUCUGCAUCUCCAGAGUCUUCAGUGAGCAAGAACUGAGCGUCUUCCAAGUCAUAAUGAUCCUCUCUUGUUCACUCUCUCACAAACAGAAUCCCUUUGGCCAGCAGCCAGGGCUGCAAUAAGGGCCAGGCACAUACAAAGGCAGCUUAAAAGCACCUCAGCUUUGGGAAAUCCUGCUGGGCUGUAAAAAGCUGCCCACAAACCCAAAUCAAGCAAGGCUUGUCUGAUAAUUCUUUGGCAUAAUCCCCAAACUUGCUGAACAGCUUUUCCAUACAAAGUAUUUCCAGGUGGGUUAUUAGGGCCUGUAUCCCUUCCAUCUUGUAUCCUCUUGUGGUUGAAAAAGGCAUUCUUUAGAGCAGGCUAUUUUUUAAAGAAAGCCAAAUAUCCUCCUUUACAUUUAUGGUUCCUGUAAACCAGAAGGAUACUUUGCAGGAUGCAAACCCUUCCUGCCACAGCUUAUAGGUCUCACCUCCCCACAGUGCUCAUACAGGACUUCCAGUUACACAGAUAAUUUGUACUUUUCAAGGACGCUGGUACUGGUUCAAGUAGCAGUGUGCACACUCAGUACUAGCACAAAGGUGCUAUGCUCUGUUAAACUAGUUUUUUUCCUGUGUUUUUAUAGUAGUAUCACUGUAGCCACAUUUGGGUCUGAGCUUCUUUAAUCAUACUGGAGUAGUUAAAAGGAAACAGCUGAGCUGAACAUGUCCUGCAGCUCAGAGUCCUGUGGCUUAGGGUAGGAGGAGGCAGGGUCCUGGGCCCUAGCAGCCCUUCCAGUUUUGAGUGGAGUGGGCAUGCUUAUGCUGUUUCACUACAGUAGUAUUUCCACGUGUGCAUGCACAAUUCAUCAGUAAAGCUGAGCCUUGCCAGGAGAACCUGCGUCUCCGUGAGGCCCUCCCUGCUGCUAAACACAGCAAAGGUUUUUGCCAGUGGAAGGCUGGUUUGCUGUGAUCCCUGCAAGCAAAGAGGCAGGCAGGCAGGCAGCUUGCUGACCUGCUGUUAUUUUUUCUCACUGCAAUAAUCUGUGGCUGCUGUGAAUAGGAUUGUAGAAAAUGAAUCCCCAGCAUAAGACUUGCAGAUCUAUAGAUAUCAUAGGAGAGAAGCAGGAAAAGAAAUUACAGAGUUUUCCUUUGGAAACCAUCAGUGCAACAAACUCGUUCCUUUGCUGGUUUGAGUCUUUGGGAUCUGUGCCACCACAGAGCAUGAAGAGAGGUGGAGAUGGAACAGUGCAGAACUCAAAAAGGUUUCUGUGAGUUAAAACACGCUGUUUCACUUUGAGACACUUCAAGAUGGGAUGAUCUGAAAAUACAUGGUGUGUCUGAAAAAAAUAACCAGCUGUGGUGGUAAAAUCCAAACAGGCAGCUAAAGAUCUGUUUUGAAGCUGGUCAGCCAGCGAGGCCUUGCUCUCCAGGGAGGUUUAAAUCACCAUGGGCUGAAGGACGCAGGAGGCAACCUGGAUUUCUUUCCUACCACUGCCUGAGAGAGGCCAGUUCUGGUCCCAGUUGCAGUGAGGCUGAGAAGGCUGCAGAGCAGGCAUGGUGCCUCGGUGUGACUCAGGGCCUUCUCCACUUUGACUUUCUUCCAGCAUCCCCUCCCCAGGCUGGAAUCUCAACGCCUCCCACUCUGAGAUUUUAUUUAUUUAUUUAUUUAUUUAUUUUCUUUCCUCAGCACCGCCCAGCCUGUUCCUGCUGGUGGCCAGUCAGGUGUGCUGAGCUGCUGCCACUCACACCUGUAUCAAGCAGUGAGCAGCACUCUUGCUUUAACCCAGCUCAGGUGGGGAGACCUGGUGAGACACACCAUAGCUACCGGGGCUGUGAGGUUCUGGGAAAAAAAAGCAGCCUGGACAGCCCUGGCAAAGCCAGAGAGCUCUAUGCUCAAGGGGGUCAACAAGAGCAAAGGCAGGAGGUGCUGCAAAGACGUUAUUUUCCCUCACAGCGAAUAGCAGAAAGCUCCACCCAAGUUUCACUUCUCAUUCCCAUUUUGUAUCAAAAAUAAACAAACAAACAAAAAUCAACACUUGCUACUGUGCAUUGCCCUUGUUGCCAUGUGAUCUGGGCAUGUGAUUAUGUUGUUGAUAACUUGGUUCUUUUACAGAAUCAGAGUCAUAGCUGCUGUAGGAGCCCAUGGAACUUGUCGGAGCAAUUCUCUCUCCUCUCACACAAGAGGCAGAGCUUCUGCCUGCUCCAGGCUGCCCUGCGGAUUUCUGCCUCCUCCUGCAAGGAUGACUCGUCCUCGUCAUCCUUUUGCAAAGCGCCAGCUGUACUCAUUUUUAGGAAGGAGGGCGGAAUUCCUCAUAGCUGCACUGUGGAAUGCUAUGCGACACCUCAAUGAUGAGACAGUAGGUUUUUUUCCAGUCUUUUCUUCUACUGGAAGUAAAUAAAAAGGGAAGGAUGAGUUUCAUUAGAAAAAAAAAAAAAAAAAGAAAAAAAAGACUGCUUGCCAGCCUGCAGUGCACUGUGUGUGUUUGGUUUCCGCUCAGUCUGCAGAGAUCUGCCUGUGCAGAUCUGUUUAGUCAUGUUGCACAGACUGGAUGGGGCUGUUUGACAGUGCUGGUUCCCAGCUCUCCUCAACAAGCAGAUGUUAGCUGUAACUGGGAGCCAUCCCAUCAGAACCUUCCUCCCACCUAGCACUCUGAGUCUGAACAUGGUUGGCAGCCAAGAGCUCCCAGGGAGGAAGGGGUACGCAGAAGUUUGUAAGAAGGCAAGUUGCUGCAAGGCAAUUUUAUAUAUAUAUAUAUUUUAUAAAGACAAGAAACAACUGUGGUCCUGCUUCCCCAGGGCAGUGAUCAUGGCACCAAGCUUGCCAGAAUUCAAGAAGCGUUUGGACAACUCUCUCAAAUCUAUAUGAUUUUUGGGUGGUCCUGUUUGGAGCCAGGAGCUGGACUCGAUGAUCCUUAUGGGUCCCUUCCAAAUUGGAAUAUUCUGUGAUUCUACUUGUGGUGUCUUUCUGUGACCUGUCUGCUUUUCAGAUCUCAGUAGUUCCAGUGAAAAAAUGGGAGAACUCCUCCUUGAUUGAGUGCCCUUUUUCCAAGAGAAGAGACAAGCUUUUGGGAUCCCUUCGUGAUCCUAUGCUAUUACAGUUGGCCUGGGACCAGGCCAGCACCUGAUCGCUGUGAGGUAUUUACAGUCCUGGAGCCCAGCCACAUCCUCCUGGUUGCACAGCAGCAUGAAUGGAAGCAGUGCUGCACUGUUUGUCCUCAGCACAUGGACAAGGAAGCAUAGGAAACAUAGCAGGCAUCGAUCACCACCUGUGGGGGUUAUUAGGGCAGAAGAUAAAAGGCAGUGUGAACACUGCUGAUCUCCCCCAUUGUGCUUCAAAUCCACACAUGCUUCGAAGAGAUGCAACACACACCCUUCCUGGGAUUUGAUUUUAAUUACAAAUGAACUUUUUGUUCACAGAGUAGAUGCCAAUCCUUUUUAAGGGGUUUAACUGCUCAUACAGUUGAUCCUAGCAGCCUGGGGUGGCCUCUGCUCUCUGUUAGUUUGCUUGGUGCUUGUACAUGCAACACACCGCCACGCUAUGGAGACAGUCUGUUGGUUUUUUCAGCAGUAAGGGUGUAACGGUUGUACAGAUAUUGUGAUCUUUAUCUCUCCAGUGCUGGGAAUGUGCCUGUGCCUAUCCAAAGCAACCCUACAGAAAGCAAAUGCCCACCAGGUUAAUAUAAUAAGAAUGCAAACUAUUGAUGAAAAUCAGAGCUGAUACUUUAAGAAGCCACAUGACUUUUAAUGGUAGUUUGAACUCUUAAAACCAGCACAUUUCGGGCUUCUUAUUUCUGUGCUUAUGAAGGACUUGGGGUGCCUUCUCUGUAUGCAUCACUCAAACUAUUUCUGGAUUGCCUAGAGUGUUUUGUUGUGUUUUGGUCCAUCCUUUGCUCAUGGACUCUGUGAGGACCCAGCUGCUUCUUUGGGCUCUGGACUCUCUCUAUGGCAUAUUUGCCUGAAAAUCUUCUCCUAAGGAUCUGUUUUACAUCUGAGCUCUCGUGUCUGUGACAGAUCACAGCUUUCCUGCCCCAUUAGUUUCUUUUUGCUGAACAGGAGCCUGCUAAUUUUUUAAAUUUUAUUCCCGUGUUUGGAGAAAGCCCAGUUUGCCAGAUCACCAAGCCAUCAGCCUGGAAAUGCUAAUCUCCUGUAUGUCACUAAACAGUUUAUCCAGGUAUGUUGUAUUGAGAGGUAGUCAGUAACACUCCUUCAUUUUCUUGAAUCAAUACAGCUUCUUGUUCCCCGCUGAAAAUGUUUCUCUGUGCUUAACAACUAUCUGUCUUCUCUAAACUCUUCCUUUUCCUUAGAGAUGCCAGCAGGAAACAUGUCUCUGAUGGCAGAUAUGAAUAUGAAUAAUAAGCCAUCAGCUUUCUCAAGUGUUUUCUACCUUUCACAUUUCAACACUAACAAAAAAAAAAAACAAAUCUAAACUGUUGUGAGGUGUGUCAUUUUCUGAGAACGUGUUAAAAAAUAUUUUCAAGUUUUCCAUCCUCUUCCUGCCAGUUUUCUCAGGUAGAAAUUCUUUUCUUCUCUGGCAGUGGGAGGGUGCCUACCUGUUUUCUUUUUAGCCUGCAAGGUUCCUGGACCAGGGAUUGCCUCUAUAUUUGUAUAGCUACCGAGGGCAGAACUCUGAACCACUUUGCAAAACUCAGUCCAGUUGAUUUCAUUCUCCCAAAGCAACAGCUGUUCUCUAAAAGAACAUUCUUUCCAUCCUCAGAUCUCUCCUAUUUCCCCAUGAAAAGUUACACAGGCUCCUGAACUAGCGAAAGGAGAAGAACCUGAGAUGUUCUUCAGUCAUUGUCAUGACCAUCCCAAAGCUAUUAGCAGAAGCUGCAGUUUCACUAGCCCCAAGCUUUGCCAUGCAGUAAGGGCUGCUGCUUCAGACAAGUUUCUAGAGGCUAAACAGUGAGGCUGUUGCAAUAGCUCUGUUGAUCAAAUAAAAUUUCUGUUCACAGUGUAGAGCCAAAAACAGUUUUUGAUUGCAGCCUUGAGGGGUAUUUCUUGGCUUACGUUCGAUGUUUUAAGCAAUGUGCAGUUGUACAAGUCAUUACCAAUGUUUGAAAUCUCUUCCGUAUUCUUAUUAUCCUCAGAUGUGUGGAAUGAAGACUAUUUACCUUCCCCUUAUAGUUCAUUAUGAUUAUUAAACCAUAAGAAUGAGGACAUGCGCAUGAGAGUUGGAUAUAUCAGGCCCGUUCUGGCUCUGUCAACAUUAUUUUUCAAAGAGUAUAUAUUCAGAAAUACGGCAAAGUUUUCCUGAUAUAAUUUUCUUCUCUUAACUGCAUUUGUAUACAAAGAUCUCACAAUGCCAUGUUUUAUAUGCACUGUUUGCAGUGAGGUUUCUUGUAACCAGGACUGUCAAACACAAGCCUCUUCAUUAAUAAUGUUGCCUUAUGCCUUUAGAUUCCAGUGUCUGAUCUCACCUCUGCUCACUGUCUCACCUGCCUUUCCCUCUUAAUUUUCCCAUCUGCACUCUGUGAGCUCCUUUAAAAUGGGUCCUCAGAGCACCUUGAUGGAAUAAGGAGCAACUAAGAACCUUCCAGCAGAUGGAGUGGCAUAAAGACUUGCACAUGUACCCACACUGUAUCCCACAGCAGCUGUUUCCAGGCUGACAGUCACAAAACCGGUGUCUCCACAUGCUGCUGCGCCACAGCCUGCAGAGGUGCUAACGAGAGUAGGCUGGGCAGUAUAUUUGUGUUAACACCAGAUUACGUGGCAUCAGAAAGGUCAAAGCUCAUUCAACCAGGCCUUGACCAAGCCUGUGAUGCUGAUCCAGGGGCAGCUUAGGCUUUGCAGUUCACCUUGCUCAGGCUUUGCAGUAGAGAUAUGUCUUGAAGUCCUUCAUGGCUUUUUAGCUCAAUGCUUGGACACUGAUUGGAAAACAAAUUAAUAGAGUCAAAGGAUGGCUGAGGUGGGAAGGGACCUCUGGAGAUCAUCUUGUCCAACCUCUGCUCCAGCUGGGACACCCGGAGCAGGGUGCCCAGAGCUAUGUCCAGGCAGCUUUGGAAGAUCUCCAAGGAAGAGACUCUACAGCAUCUGGGCAGCCUGUCCCAGUGCUCCGUCACCUGCACAGCACAGCAAUGCUUCUGGUGUUCAGAGGGAACCUCCUGUGGUUUCUGCCUCUGGUCCUGGCAUUGAGCACCAUUGACAGAGUCACUACAGGGAUUGCCUCACGAUUUUCUCAUGUAGCAUCUAUAAAAAUGGGGGUUUAGUCUAGACAUGCAUCCUUCAUGUUUAAUAUGCAAUAAAUAGACACAAUGGAUAAAUUGGGAAUCCGGCUCUUUAUGGAAAUCAUUCCCUAAUAUGGGAAUGAUUUGUAACUCCUCAGGAUUCCUGUACUCCUUUCUGCUUUGCUCUGAGCACUUGAAAAUGUGUUCACUGCAAGAUGGUCUGUGUUAGGAAUAAUGACGUUUACGUUAAUUAAAUUUCAGAAAUAUCUAAUUGGCAGCCCUACUGAGCUGGAGGGAAGAACAUUUCCAUAUUUUAUGGUGCUUACACUAUGUUGUUGGUUGAUGGCUGGUAAGCUUUCAUUUAAGGUAUCUAACGUCAUGUGGCUGAUGGAAAAUACAGCUGAACUUCUCUCAAUAGAAAUCUUAUCAAUAAAAAUCUACUGUUAUAUCCUAGCUAUGCUACAGUAGUGAAAGAGAGAGCAGUUUUAACUAAUAGUUCUGUAGAAAUACAGAUGGCUUUUAUUAAUAUAACAAGGUAUCUUGUCAAAGGGAUUCUACUAACUAGGUUAAUUAAAUACUAUUACUGCUGUUACUGUCGAGGAGUAAAUACUCAUAACUAAGACUGCUGCCCUGGACUCUGAACAAAACAUGUGUGCACCAAGGAAUUCUGAUAUUAGAAAUAACAAGUAGAUAUGGGCAGGAGUGUGGCACCAGAAGCAGGUAGAGACAGACGUAUCAUUUACAUGCUCACUUGAGCUUUUUCUAAUAUCAUUUGCAUUUUGACCUAUCCACUACUUUAAAAAAACCAAUACCCAAGGUCUUCUCUGUAGGUCGGUCAGGACUGAGUUGCCUUUUAAGCAGCAGCAGAUGUUCAGGUACCAGUAAGACAGUGUAAAGCUUCAUGUACUUAUAAAAUCUUGUCAGUUCCCAGCAGUGGGUUCUUAAAGUAUGCAUACAGUCCAGUAUAUGUAGCAGCUCCCAUCUCCCAUCAGCCCUCAGUCACCUUGCCAGCUGAAAAAGCAGGACAUGUAGGUACUGUGGCUUCUCUGCAUCUUCCUCCGUGAUGCUGAUUUUGCCAUCCCUUUUUUCUCUUCAUUCUGUGUUAGUAUGACCAUCACAAACAGCUACCAGAGCACUGCUGCUACAGAGAGCUCACCUGGGACAGGGAGCAGAGGCUGUGGGGCUGCCGUCUGUAUGGGCCAGGUUUGGGUUGAUGACUAGCACAAGCAUCCAGGCUUCUGGGAAGCCCUUAGGGCUUGGGAAGCCCUAAGGCAGCAUGACUGUGCCAUGUUAUUCACUUUGAGGUUUGAGUCUGACCUUAGGGGCAUCUCAGAGUCCUGAAGGCAUACUGGGAGCAGUACUGGGACAGCAUACGAGUGCUCUCAAUUCAAUAUGAAAAUCAGAAACCAAAAACAAAGCUCUUCAUCAAGGAAACAGCAAUUAGUGGGCAAGUGCUUAAAACUGGACAGAUGGAAGAAACCCAAGAUGCAUCCAAUCAGACAAAACAAGUUGUGUGUAAAGUGUCUAAAACUAAGUCCAAAAGAAAAAGAAAAUGCAAUUUUUUUUUUUUUUUCUGCCUGAAAAUAGUGGUAACAUUGACUAUUUUUUGUCCCUUCCAUCAGUUGUUGGAUAGUUUAAUGCUGGUGGUGGCUCUGACUAUACCUGUGGUGCUUCGGAGUGUAGGGCCCUUCAUACUGUACUAGUACUCCUUUCAGCCAUGUAGCCAUUCCUGCAGUCUCUACCAGAUGCAUCAAAAGCACCUGCUCAUUUGACUUCUCCAUGUAUCAAAAAGCACCAACUCCUCCACCGUCCUGGAGUAAUUGGUCAUUAACAACAAACUUGUUCCUGCCAGGGUGCUUCUCAAGCCAUUGCAGUCAAGGAUACUUCUGGGAAAGUCAGGAAAAAAAGUUGAUUUCCAACUGCUGCACAAAGGAAAGAAGAGACACUUAAAAUCCGUGUGUCUUCAUUUUUUCUCCCUACCCUUAAGGGACAGCACUGUAGGGGCACUGCACAGGGAUGUCUUGUCAGAAGUCAGUGCUGCCACAAUGAGUUUACUCUGCAAAUAGGUUCCCUUUUCCCAAGAGAGGGAACUUGGCAGGGACCAUCCAGAGGAUGCAUGGGGCUAGCAGACAUAACAAAGCUUGGAAUGUGGAGUUGCUGAUCCCUGGCUAAGGAUACCCAAGAGCUGAAAAGAGCAAUUGCUUCAGACAGCAAGAGGAUGCAUCGCUGUCCCUCUGUGAGCAGAAAGCUGAAGUGCCUAUGGAGUGGUGUGCAUGGGUAGUGUGUGGUGGAAGUGGUAAUAAAGUCAUUACAGCCAGGAACCUCAAGUGAACAGAAGCUGCUGCAGUGAGGCACAGUAUGAGUGAGCUGCCGACAAGCAGAAGUCUCUGAUGCUGCUGCAAUUGCCUCCCGCCCUGAGAUAUCUCUUCUUCUACCAUUUACCUCUGAGUGAAGCCACUGGACUGUCAACACUUGUGGCGAGAUCAUGUUCACAGGACUGUGAGCCGUGUUUCCCAGGUUGUUGGAGGAGAGCACAACAUGCUGCUUCUGGCAGCAGGAAGGGAAGCAACGUGCAGGAGGGGCUCAGAUUUCUUAACAUUUACUGUUAGUUUCUUGGCAGCCAUCAGCUUAUUAAACCAGCAGAGGAAAACCUUGCUUGAUUUUUCCCCCCUAUGCAUGGAUAAUGAUACCCAUUUUAAAUUAUCCUCCUUAGGUAAAAGAGUGUGCCAAGAAAAAAAAAAAAAAAAAAGUAGUGGAAGAACGAGAGGCAAAGAAUGCAGCAUUCAGUAGGGCUGCUUUGCCUUGCCUUGCCUUGCUACCCCAGUUUCACUAGACUCAACUUCACCUUUGGUUUCUCAGGUUUCAAAGGCAGCUUUUAUGAGCUCCCCAAUUUCCCCAAGCUGCUGUAGGGUCAGCAGAAUCUUCCUCAUACUUCUCACCCGUUUCUCAAUGUCCUCCUUAGCGUACAGCCCAGAGAUGCUAUUCUGGGGAUCCCAUGGUGUAUCUUGCAGGCAGCCCUGAAUGGGAUCGGUGAUGAUCCCCACCUCUAAUAGCACAUUCCUCCUGGAGAGGAGAUGUUGGAGAAUAUUUGUGCCUCUAGGCAGUGUAGCAGUGCAUGUAUGUCCAAAGCCUAUUGCUUUGACUCAGUGCUGCUCUUCAUUCCACUGGUACCACUUUGCUGUUUGUCUACAUUUGUCUUCCCAGAACCCAACUGUGGCCACCAUGGCCUCAUGCAAGAUGUGGAAAUGCCCUGAGAUCUGGUACUGCCAGCAAAGUUGAGGGAUUUUUUUUUCAGAGCUUUCCAUAGUAAAAGCUUUUCCAUUAAUGUCUUCUAAAUGGUGUUGCAGGGAUUUCAGCACCUUAGGUAGCAUACAAGGAUACAGAUCCACACAGCUGAACAGCGUUCAGCUCCUUUGAACUAGGAAAAGCACCAAACACAGUUGGUGGGAAGGGACCUCUGAAGGUCGCAAGCUUGUUGAGGGCUCCUCUCAGCACAGCAUCAUGGCUCUAGGUCAGGUCAGCCUUGGCAUUGUCUGACCAAAUCUUUUAAGUCCCAGGGGUGGGGAGUUCCUCUCUGAUCUCCCAAACUCCAGCCUGGCUCUGUGGCCUCUCAUAUUGUCAUUUCAUCCUUGUGUGAUGCCAACAUACUCUUGGCCCGUACAAGGUAUGACCCAUAGUUUGUAGCAACACGAGCAGGAGCAGAGGCUUUAUUCACAGCACUCACGGUAGUACAGUGAGCAAGCAGUUUCAAAAUCCAAUUUCAUAGACAUAGAGAUUACAUUAAUCUCUUUUAAUAGCUAAACAAUUCAAGUUUCCGAGAUAGGACAAAGUAAGGGAUAUUCUUGACAAAACUGGUGCUUCAAAGCUGCCUGCAUCUGAUUCAGACUCCUAACUCCUAAGCACAAAUGGUAGAACCGAUUGUAUCUCUUCAGAGAGUAGCUCUGCAAAACUUGUAUUUAAUCUCCCCUUUUUAUAACUCACUGUAGCUGUCUGGGCUUGCCUGUUGGGAAGCAAAUGUGGAUUGACUUUGCCUUCAAAUACCAUAUGAGGAAACGCACUCAGCUCUCACCAACUGAUCUCCAGGGCCUGUGGAAUGGUAAAAGCUCAAGUUAUCAAAGUAUCUGUAAACUGCCUUCUGAUUUCUAGCUUGAGCACCUCCCUGAAUCUGGACCCUUUGAUUUAAGGUGGCUGCUUUCUUUCACUGUGUCUCAACAGGCAGAAAAGAGCAUAGCUCUAAUCCCUGUUGGCUCAGUUGUAUUAACUCAGCAUGAUAGAAAAGCCCUCUUCAACUCCAGAAAGGCAGAACUGAAUCCGAUCUGCAUUAGAAACUUCUACCUGUGCAGUAAGUACCUUGUCAUUGGCAGGGAUGUUUCUGUACCUCCAGAGACACCGGUGUCAAUGUGACUGUUGAUACUUUUUGAAUCAGAGAACCAACGUCAGCUGUCCUAGGGAAGGCACUGCUUUUUGGCCUACGCUGCAUGCUUUCAGAGAAUUUGCAGGUUUUGAGAUCUGUGUAUAUCCAUUUUAGGCUGUUUUCCAGCAUUUGUGCUGUGAUUUAGGGCUCUGACAAAUGAGCUCUAGCAAAUCACGCUGAGGUGACUGAAGGCGACCAGCCCAGCUGUUUAUUACUGCUCUGCUGGCACUGAUGACUGUCCCUGCAGCAGUUGGCAGGAGAUAACAUACAUCCAGGGCAGAGAUGCUCCAAAUUGUGUUUUAGUUUAAAUCUCCAAGGAGGUGGGGUUAGACCGUACAGAAGACUGUGAAUCAGAGAUACUGAGAUGUUGUUCAUGGUGCUUUGUGCCCAUCAAGAAGAGUGUUGAUGCCAUGUCCUUACAGCAUCAGUGCUGUGUUUCUGCCCCCGCUGUGCACCAGAACUGCAGAUCCUUCCAGGAGGUGAUACAGGGAUUCCAGCCAGCCACGUGAUCUCCUCAUUCACCUGGCAGGAGAGCGGGAAUAAAACAUGCCACGUGGAAAUAAACUGGGAAAAGGACUGGGCUUUAAGUGCACAGUGUGGCUUCCCUCCCCCCCCACUACCACCUAGCCGGUAAGCUAUUCCAGGCUAUCUUGUUUAUACUGAAGAGCAUUUAAUACCUCUUAGCAUUUGUGUUUGCCUUGAAGCUACAGGCAGCUCUGUCCUGCAGUGCACUAAAUAUUUGUGCAAUAAGUACAAACAGAUGUUUGAAGAUCUGCUUUGAAGCAAAUCUUUACCCGCUAGAUUAUUUCCCAAGACUCUUCAGGAAUAGUGUACAUCAAUAUAUUCCAAGCAAAGCCUUGACAGGCAGGGAGAGAGGAAAUACAUAGGAAUAGGCAGUAGUGGAGUAGGAAUACACACAUCUCUACUGCAUAAAUCCUUCACAGCAGCAGCUGAGAUGUCAGUGUUUUCAUAAACAAUUCAUCUGCCAGGUCUUAUUCCUAUAAAUUCCUCUGCCACAUGCAGGCUUCUAGGCUCAGUUUGACUCACUGGCCAGAUCCUCGUCACCCCCAAGGGCUAUCAUCUGCACCCUAAAUAAUCUCCCUAAAAAUCAAAAAUCCCAGAGCAAGUAGAGAAGGUGAAAGCUGCCUGGUGUGCACAGAUGGCACUCUCUCAUGCAUAUUUCACUUGUGUCACAGUUUUCACAAAGCAGACAUGAGUGGCAUGAAAUAACGUGACUCUCAGACCGCAUUAUACCAAGUGCCACAUGCAAAUGAAUGGGGAAGGUUCUGCCCCAGGCAGCUCCCAACUUGUGUUGGGAUGCAGCAGAAACCCUGAGAGGGGAAAAGUAGUGUGGUAGCAGCAAAACCAGCCAGGAUCUGCAGUGAUCACUGCCUGGGAGGUUGCAGUGAGGGCUCGCAAAUGAUUUUAACCACCAGUUUAUGGCUUUGCUUUUGCUUCUUCUUUUCCCACAUUUUUGGGGAGAAGAGGGUGUGUCAGGACAUUCAGGUGUUAGACAAGCUGCAGCCAGGUUUCUGCUUUGCCAGUGAAUCCUUUUGUAGGCUCUCAGCCUUUUUCCCUUAUUCUCUAAGAAAAACACUUCUGUACCCUAGGGCACACAAGAUUAAUACAUAAGAGUCUGGGAGGCAUUCAGAUAUGGCACUGGGGAAAGCCAUAUAAGGUCCUGAGUGGAUCUGCUCUGAGGUAUCUUUUGACUGUAUGCUUUGGACAGCAAAGAGGAUCCUUCAGAGCACUUACACUAGCUGCCUUUUAAAUGCAGAGUGAUGUUUGGUCGGAGCUGUAUGGAGAGCUAAUGCGCUGCCCUAAAGCUCUCUAAUAUACUCUGUAGGACACUUUGAUUUCCCUUGUCUUCCUUUACCCGCCUCUCAUAUUUCUUGUUUAAAAUAUGAAAACGAUUAAUAACUAUUUUUCUACCAUUAAUUUUCCUUUCCUAGUAACUACUCAUUAGCCUUGCCUAAUUCCACUUCACCUGAAACCGCUCUUCCUACAUUCCUCCUCUUGCUGCUCCAUCACAAGAUCAGGCAGGAGCCACCCAUCACUUCGCUCCCCACCAGCUGUGCUGCUGUGACACAAAGUUGUAUCUUCCAGCCGGUGAGGUGGUCAUUUUGUCAUUCUGUGCCCCCAUUGUCUCUAUUUGGGACAGCCGUGCUUCCCUCCAUUGUAGGGAUGAAGCUUGGGAUGAUGGAAGAAUCUAGCAACGGCUGCAGCAAUGAUCACGGCUGCCUGGAGCCCUGCAAUCGUGUGCUGAGCCUCCCUUUGUUCAACAGCCCUACGUGGUACAUGUAGGAGAAAAGAUACCCUUCUGGGGGCAGCUUGUGCCACUGCCUCAUCACUCUUUCUGAGAAGAAAUUGUUUCUAACAUGUAAAGGUUUUUUCCACAAGUAGUGCUCUGGUAUAAGUUAGAGAGGAAGAAGGCUCUAUGGUGAUAGUCUGGCUCUAGGAAUUUGCCUCAGACGGCUGUGAGUGGCUUAGCAAAAGGUAGGGGGGGAAAAAGCAGAAGCCUCCAUAAGGGGGAAUAAAGGAAAAAUGCUACAAGAGGGAAGAGACUGAGUGAAUGAACCUUCACACCAGGUCUCCCCCAGAGAGUGGAAAACUUUCUGAGGGAGCUGACGCCUAUCUACCACCAAUGUGCUUUUUCAGAAAAGCCAAGCUGCACUAGGAAGUGACACCUGCAGUGCUAGCCAGUGUGUGAGGCUUGGCUGUAAGGCCUGCAAGUUUUGCUCAUUUCUGUCCCAUAAGUGGUCACCCAAUAUGUAUGGUAUCUUUUCUUUCCUCCCACUGUGAGCAAUUUUGUCUUUUUUGAUAAACCAUCAUAGCAAGGAACUGUAAUCCUAAUGCCUGUGUUAAUUAAAAAUCUAAUGGCUCUUCCUCAGGAGAAAGUUCGUUAGUUCCAAUGUUUUCCUAAGAUAAUUAUAUCCAGGCAGGCUAUCACCCUCCCCUGUAGUUUCACUACUGCUCACUUUCUCUGAACUCCUGCAUGCUGCUGCAUUGCAUCAUUUUGUUGUGUUCCACUCCAUCAUUUCAAAAUUAGUUGCAUAUUUGUUUCAAAGCAUGGCAAAAACUUUAGAGACUGUAGGAGAUGCUGUAUCUGUACUGUGAUGACGGACAGAAUUCACUGCCUUGUAGCACUGCAUUGUAAUGGGGAAACUGUGACUCUUCAUCUCCCCUGUGUUCUAAAAUAGCAAGAGAUAAACAGGAAAAUGGGGAGACACGUUCUGCUUCAUAUUGUUUGGCUCUCCAGUCAGCUCAGCCUCUGAUAUUAAUAACUUCCUGUUUUGUUUUAAACCUUCUGACAAGUGAGGAGCCUUCAUUUCAGCCUGAACUCAGGCACCCAAAUGGCCAGUGUGUUUCCAGGCUCUGGGCAACAAAUUCCAGUUUUCUGCCUACCUCUAGGCCAGAAUUUUAGAACUUAAAGUCAAACUGAUGAAAAUCGGGUGCCUUAACCACCUGAGAGUUACCAAAAUACAAAUAUCCUGGCUUUCACAGCAGGUGGACGCCUGCAGACCCUUCAAGUAGUCAUGGGACUUGAAAGGGCAGCGUCUGCAAAUCUGUCCAGUUUGGUGUAGGAUCAAACAAGGUCCUAACCUAAAACUCUGGACUCCUGUUCCUUUCUAAGGAUGUGCUCAGAAAUGAGAAACAGAAAAGAGAAUCUGGAAAAACGUGCAUUUGCCUAAUAUUGCUUGCGUACAAUGCUAGUGAAAUGUGUGCUCAUAUCAUUUGCAUCAUUUUUCAGAUGCCUAAACUAGUAAGACUCUUUGUUUUCCAGGAUUCUGAUGAACUUUUGCUAUGAACUAUUUCCUGUGGAUAACUUGCAGGAGAAGCAGAGUCCCCCAGCGUGCCUGAUUCAUGUGUACUGCUCACAGCUGUUACACUGUGUAACCAGGAACCAGCUCCAGACCGUGGUGUGCAUUGGGAUAGCUUGAAUGCAGCAAUUCUAGGAGGGUUAAAAAUUAAACCAGCAAUCAAGAUCUAAAGCAGCACUGGGUUUAAAAGACUGGCAAGGUUCAGCUAUGAGUUAAUUCAUUAGUUGCAGUUAAUAUUACUAGAAGAGCUUGACAAAGGGAAACAUGAAGCAACUGAAAAGAAACAUCGUUAAGGUGAAUGUCAAAGUUUUUGCAUCCAACAAAGAAAAAAAAGCUGAAUACAGAAGAGAAAGCACUGGUUCCCACUGAGUGGUUAUAGAGGAAACAAUCAUACUAGUACAGAAACCUGACUAGAGAAUGAAUCUCACGACUGGCCAGUAUCUCCUCCAGGACAGGUGAGAAACCCAAACUAGCUACAACUUGCAGGUAGGAGGCUCUGUUCCAUCAGAGUAUGCUGAAAUGCUGGGUUUAUGUAGCAGUGGUCAUUUCCAGUUUUCUUGAAUCCCAUUGUCUUUUCAGCACCACUUAGGACCAAAGAAGGAACUUCUUCAUCUGUGCAUCUGGUGUGACUUACACAACACAGCCAUGGGCUCCUGCUGCCUUGGGAGCAGCCUUCCAAAUAAACAGUUCCAGCACACUCUCCUAGGCAAACAAUAGUUAAUUAUCAACGCUAAUAAGUGAGUUUCACAUUUCUAUGUCCAAUGUACGUACAUCUCAGUCUCCCAAGUGUCUUCUCCAGGGUGUGGAUCCUCAGCUACUGGCACUCCAGGCAGUAGACGCAGGCAGUGGGUUGCAUGGCAUGGGGCUCAACUCCAGAUGUCCCUCUGAGGCACUGUCGCCCUUCUCUCCCUCCUUUUGGAAAUGUGGAAAGAAACGGUUACCGUUUGGAUAAUCUUUGACAGCACCACCUGUCCCUGCUGUAGCUGCACCUUCCUACCCCUGGAUCGCAGUGUGUUAUCUUAGGCUAAGCAGAGAACUCCCCCACUUAGGAUUUGUGUUUGUUUGGUGUUUUUUUCUAAGCAGUAAUGAUGGGUCAACAGGCAGGAAUUAUUUUAGCUGGGUUUAAGAGCCUUUUUUAUGCAAUCAAGUGUCUCUGUUGAGGUGCUGGUUCAAGAGAGCAUGGGGAAUUCCUGACACCACCACUGCCAGUGGCCUUGCUUUGUAGCAGUGGGAUCUGCAAGAGCAGGAGCAUCAAACCCCUGUGCUGGAACUCAGUCAGGCUGCCUGCAGGCAUCACACACCAGGGCAGUGGCUGCCUGUUCCCCUCCGGAGCUGGGAGAUGGUGUCACCUGCCCACAGAGUACUCAGCAUUGCUCACAUUGGACAUGGACAUUUUCAUAUCUGGGAUGAAGAAACAGAUGCCUUUUCUUGCUCGAGAGAGAUUAUUUCUUCUGUGCCACUAGCUUGAGAUUGUUUAUUUGGCUUAGCCUAUGUUUUCACCAUAUGCCACAAGCCUUAACCACUUCAUAUGAGGCUGCUAUUCAUUUGGGACCAGUAUGAAACAUUUCUGGCUUUUUCAUUUUUCUGGCCCAUACAUAUUGCUAAUCUAUCCCUUUGUCUACAUACUCUUUCUUCUCUAACAUUUCAGGUCUCCUGCCUUGUGUAAUAUUUCAAAUCCUUGACUGCUUGCUGCUGCAGAUGGAGUAUUGGUUACCCUCCAUCAUCGGUCUGGCUGCGAGGACUUCCUGUGCUUGACAAGUUGAUUACUUCGUCAAGUUCCUGAGGGAGAGCAGGAUGCUUUACUUGUGAGUUGCAAGUCGGGUCAGGAGGGAUGGAUCUCCACGGAGAAAUUGCUGACACAGGCCCAGAAAUAUCAUUAGUAAGGCCCGUGGCCAGGAGGGCCAGCACUGGGAACGCGUCCUGGUGCAUAGCCAGGGACGCAGCAAUGUCCUGCUGAGAGCAGUGGCCCGGGGCCGGGUACACAGCAUCCAGCCCUCCCCUGGAGACUGGUGUUUGCUGAGGGAUGCAAGGUAACCUCAGCAUUGAAAAUAGCUGGGACGGUGGCCAGCGAAGAUUAAUGGUAUCAUUAACAUCCCCAGUUUAUUUAUAGGUUUAAAAAAGUCCCCAACCUGUAAACAAAGCAGAGUUAUGCUGCGUAAUGCAGAGAAUCACAGGUUUACCUCCUUCCCAUUCCUCUUAUUUCAUCUUGGUUGUUGAGACUGUAAAACCCCUGGAGUAGGACUGGCUCAUUGCAAACUUACAUUAUAAACCUUCUCAAUGAGGGGGAUACGCACUGUUGGUUUAUUUCUCCAUGAAUGUUAUAUUUGUCUGGUCUCCUUUCUCCACUUAGCUCCUUCUGUACUUUGUCCUGUGGCCUCUGUUACAGAAAAUUCUCUUUUUGAAGAAUUCCUGAGGCCCAGGUUGGGCAGUCAUCAUAGAAAUUAGUGAUUUUCUGCCUUGGGCUUCAAGCUGUAAGCUCUGUGUGAGGUGGAUUGAGCAUCUUGUAGCUGUGGAGAGCACCUAGGCGGUGCAUGGCCCCAGUGAAGCAUGCAGAUGUUAUUAAUGACCCUGGGGUCUUCCUACAGGCACUCAGGGCCACUCAGUUCCCAGGUUCUCGAGGAACUUGAAGGACUGUCCAGAAAAGAAAAAGCAUGUUGGCUCCAGGACAGGAUUUUUCAGCACGUGAGCUGCAGCCACACAACCCUGGCCCAUCUCCAGGAGCUCAGGAAAAAGUAAGGUAGGAAGGUGGCCUGUUGGCAGCAGGCAGCAAGGAUCUGCUGCAGAGAUGUAUGGGUGGAGGAGAAAAGAAAAAUGUGAGAAUAGACCCCUCCAGACACACAGUGCAAUGGGGUGUUUUGGAGGGCAACCACUGUUCGUUUUACUGUUUGUGAUGUGUUAAUCUGAGUUGUACUCCCAUUGCUCCCUUUCCUUGGCCUUUUGUCUUCUAGAAAGUAAAAUAAAGAAUUGGCAGAGAACUGCUCAAAUUGCUGUUGUCUUCUUUUCUGUGGGAAAUUAGAGUGCUUCAGGGCAGAGGAAGUGAGUCUGAAGUACUAGAAGUGACUGAAGGAGGGUUUCUCUGCCAUGGACACCUCAGAUGAAAUCAUUACCCUGGAAUCCCCUCACCACCCAAACCCUGAUGGGUUUGAAGCAUCUCAGUGCCUCGUGUUCCCCUUCUCCUAUUUCUCACUUGGGCUGUGAGAUCCAGCUUCUCUCCAUCCUCCCCAGACAGAGCCCAGCUCUCUGCUGUGCUGAGGAGAUUGGGGCUGUGCCUCAGUUUCCUUCUCUGUUAAAUGGGACCAUGAUGCUGACUGAGUUUCAUACAGUCUUCUGAAGGACAAAACCUAAGUACAUUUAUUCAGUUAUCAAAAGACCAUGACUGGGAGAGUGUUUCCUUGUCUCAUAUGCAUGAGAUCCUGUGAAAUUUAAAAGGCUUCAAGGAAAAGGCAGGUCAAACGCAGCAUCUGAGAUAAAGGAGAAAAGGUAAUGUUUUAACUAUACUUAGCUUGGGAAGGAGACACCUCCUACAUAUUUUUUUCUAAUCUAAAUUCCCGAACAUCUAACCAGAAUAAUCAGGAUGACUUUCUCUCUAGACUGAUGUUACAGGCAUGAGCCUCAUGACAAAAGGGACCAUCUACAUCUCUCUCAAACUGAUUACAUGCUUUGAAAAGUGAUUGUAAAAGGUGAAAGAUUUUUUUUAACAAGACAAACUAAGGCACAUCUCUGCUGAGGAACAGCUGCCUCCCAGACCUCAGUGCUGCACAUCUUCUGUGCCAUUACUGACCCGUGAUACAGAAAGGAAGAACUGGGAUUUUUCUGUUUUCCUGUUCCACUGGGCUACACCCAUUUGUAACCAUAUUUAUCCUUUCUUCUUCUAGCUGCCAACACUGGGUGGCACUGGGUAACUCCUGAUAUUUUAUAAAGUCUCUUCUAAAACUUGAAUCACACCAUGUUGGCUCCACGCUGUCCUGGCAACAAAUAGCUGUGUUUGAGAAGCUUUUGAUUGCAUGGUUGUUGCAGUAGGAACAUCUGAGUCACGUGGUGCAUUUUGUACCUCAGUUUGUUAGAUUGUUAAAGCUCUUUUGGAACUCUGGCCCCACAAGUUUGACAAAGAUUCAGUGUGUUAUUGGGCUUUAAUGCCACAUUUCUUGUAGUGAGGUAUGAAUGUUGACUUUAAAGUAACUGUGCUGUAUGCUGGAGAAUUAAACAUAUUUCACAGAAUGAUUGAAGAUGGAAGGCAUCUCUGGAAAGCUUCUAACCCAAGCUCAAGCAAAGACACCCAGAGCAGAAUGUGUCAGAUCACAUCCAGUCAGGUCUGGUGCCUCCAAGGAUGGGAGCUCCACAGCCUCUGUGGGGAACUUCUUCCUGCACUCAACCACAAAGAGUUAUUCAGUUGGUGUCCAUUUUCUCCUGUCCUGAGCUGGGCACUACCUGGAAGAGUCUUCUUUUCUGAAUCUCAGUAUCCAAUAGUUAAACACAUUGAUUUAGUCACUGUGAUAAGAUCCUGAGCUUUCUCCAGGGUCACUAAUUCCAGCACUCUCAGCCUCUCGUGUCAGCUGAUUCAAUCCCUUAAUCGCGAGUCUUGAAGGAGCUCACUUCAGUACAUCAAAGCCCCUCUUGU